rnacentral:rRNA from 1 species
CCUUACGGCUCAGUAACACGUGGAUAACCUGCCCUUGGGUCCGGCAUAACCCCGGGAAACUGAGGAUAAUUCCGGAUAACGCACAUAUGCUGGAAUGCUUUAUGCGUAAAAUGGAUUCGUCUGCCCAAGGAUGGGUCUGCGGCCUAUCAGGUAGUAGUGGGUGUAAUGUACCUACUAGCCAACAACGGGUACGGGUUGUGAGAGCAAGAGCCCGGAGAUGGAUUCUGAGACAUGAAUCCAGGCCCUACGGGGCGCAGCAGGCGCGAAAACUUUACAAUGCGGGAAACCGUGAUAAGGGGACACCGAGUGCCAGCGUCAUACGCUGGCUGUCCAGGUGUGUAAAAUACACCUGUUAGCAAGGGCCGGGCAAGACCGGUGCCAGCCGCCGCGGUAACACCGGCGGCCCGAGUGGUGAUCGUGAUUAUUGGGUCUAGAGGGUCCGUAGCCGGUUUGGUCAGUCCUCCGGGAAAUCUGAUAGCUCAACUAUUAGGCUUUCGGGGGAUACUGCCAGACUUGGAACCGGGAGAGGUAAGAGGUACUACAGGGGUAGGAGUGAAAUCUUGUAAUCCCUGUGGGACCACCUGUGGCGAAGGCGUCUUACCAGAACGGGUUCGACGGUGAGGGACGAAAGCUGGGGGCACGAACCGGAUUAGAUACCCGGGUAGUCCCAGCCGUAAACGAUGCUCGCUAGGUGUCAGGCAUGGCGCGACCGUGUCUGGUGCCGCAGGGAAGCCGUGAAGCGAGCCACCUGGGAAGUACGGCCGCAAGGCUGAAACUUAAAGGAAUUGGCGGGGGAGCAC